UGGGGAAUUUUGGACAAUGGGCGAAAGCCUGAUCCAGCAAUGCCGCGUGUGUGAAGAAGGCCUUCGGGUUGUAAAGCACUUUUGUCCGGAAAGAAAUCCUUGGCUCUAAUACAGUCGGGGGAUGACGGUACCGGAAGAAUAAGCACCGGCUAACUACGUGCCAGCAGCCGCGGUAAUACGUAGGGUGCAAGCGUUAAUCGGAAUUACUGGGCGUAAAGCGUGCGCAGGCGGUUUGCUAAGACCGAUGUGAAAUCCCCGGGCUCAACCUGGGAACUGCAUUGGUGACUGGCAGGCUAGAGUAUGGCAGAGGGGGGUAGAAUUCCACGUGUAGCAGUGAAAUGCGUAGAGAUGUGGAGGAAUACCGAUGGCGAAGGCAGCCCCCUGGGCCAAUACUGACGCUCAUGCACGAAAGCGUGGGGAGCAAACAGGAUUAGAUACCCUGGUAGUCCACGCCCUAAACGAUGUCAACUAGUUGUUGGGGACUUCAUUUCCUUAGUAACGUAGCUAACGCGUGAAGUUGACCGCCUGGGGAGUACGGUCGCAAGAUUAAAACUCAAAUGAAUUGACGGGGUCAUAGCUGUUUCC
rnacentral:rRNA from 1 species